rnacentral:rRNA from 1 species
UACGGGAGGCAGCAGUGGGGAAUAUUGCACAAUGGGCGCAAGCCUGAUGCAGCCAUGCCGCGUGUAUGAAGAAGGCCUUCGGGUUGUAAAGUACUUUCAGUCGUAAGGAAGGUGUUAAGGUUAAUAACCUUAGCAAUUGACGUUAGCGACAGAAGAAGCACCGGCUAACUCCGUGCCAGCAGCCGCGGUAAUACGGAGGGUGCGAGCGUUAAUCGGAAUUACUGGGCGUAAAGGGCACGCAGGCGGUUAAUUAAGUUGGAUGUGAAAUCCCCGGGCUUAACCUGGGAAUGGCAUUCAAGACUGGUUAGCUAGAGUCUUGUAGAGGGGGUAGAAUUCCAUGUGUAGCGGUGAAAUGCGUAGAGAUGUGGAGGAAUACCGGUGGCGAAAGGCGGCCCCCUGGACAAAGACUGACGCUCAUGUGCGAAAGCGUGGGGAGCAAACAGGGAUUAGAUACC